rnacentral:rRNA from 1 species
UACGUAGGGUCCGAGCGUUGUCCGGAAUCAUUGGGCGUAAAGAGCGUGUAGGCGGCCCGGUAAGUCCGCUGUGAAAGUCGGGGGCUCAACCCUCGAAUGCCGGUGGAUACUGUCGGGCUAGAGUGCGGAAGAGGCGAGUGGAAUUCCUGGUGUAGCGGUGAAAUGCGCAGAUAUCAGGAGGAACACCGAUUGCGAAGGCAGCUCGCUGGGACGUUACUGACGCUGAGACGCGAAAGCGUGGGGAGCAAACAGG